UAUCUAUAAAUCUCAUAUUUUUCUAACUACAGCACACCAUUCAUUAAAAUUUGAAUUUUUAUAUCUAACAUCGUGGGACCUACCUAUUAUACUAACUCACCCUUUUUAAAUCAAAAGAAUAAACCCAUGCAUUAAUAACCUUAUUUCAAACUAAGCCUUCACUUUUCCUACCCUCUACGAAACGGACCCCACCAAAAAACUAUACAUAAUGACUCCACCCCACUUUGUUUUCUUUCUCCUCCAACCCCUGUUUGUACAAAUUCCUUCCUGCAGACAAAUAAAACUACUAAAAUUUUCUACUAUAUAACCAUGCAACAACCCUCCACGACUGUUAUUCAAACAUAUGCGCACAUACCUCUCUUUUCUUUCCAUAAACCAGUCACUACCCGAGAACCACCCAGUAUCCUCCCACACCAAAACUUUCUUUCUUAAAUACUCCCUGAAACUCUAUUUUCUCCUCCCUUCUCACUACUGCUCUCACCCAUGCCACGAUGACUCACAAACAUACAACUUAAAGAACGAAACCAACAAACACAACAGCUGGUGUUGUCUCCCCCUUUACUACAUACAUAACCUAACCAUCAAAAAGUAUAAUCACCGCCCAAAAUCCUACAUGCAUGAUAUAAUUCUAUGCACAAACAAAGAACAAAUAUUAUAUCACAUCACAAAACCUUCUCCCAUAAUAUAAAAG
rnacentral:lncRNA from 1 species